rnacentral:tRNA from 1 species
UCCCCGAUAGUCUAGUGGUGAGGAUAUCUGCUUGUCAUUUUCAAGAUUCGCAGGGGACCGGGGUUCAAUUCCCCGUCGAGGAG